UUGUGAACUUAACAUACAUUUUGACGUGAAAUACCCAAUAUGUUUCUGUAGAUUUGAUUUUUCAGCGAUGCAGUUGAUGUAUCGCCCCCAGUAGUCAAGUUUCCACAAUGAUAAGUACUUUGACACAUUUUCCAUCCAUCCUACAGCUGGUGUUUAUGCUGAAAUCACUUUUUGGCUUGCUAUCAUUGAAAAACAUGCUUCUUCCAUCUUGAGAUUGAGAGUUUUUCUUUUGUUAGUGUGCUGAUUUUUGUGUGGUACCUAAGAGGACCAAAUGCAUUACAUAAGCAUAUAGAUAUUGCAGCAUAUAUUUUACCUUUCAUGUUGUUAAUUAAAUUGCUCACUCUUCCAUUAUUGUACAAAUUCAUCCGACUAGAUUUUCAAUCGCUUAAUUGAGUUGGUCAGAGUUCUAGAUUGUAUAUUAGAUUACCACUCAUGUACAUGUUUCUUACUGUAACUAAUUUUACUCUACUUGUAGGUUCAAUUGUAAUUAAUGGAAAGAUGAAAAUGUUAGCCACAGAGGCAACCAAAUUUUUAGGCUUAAUAGGUUUUCUCCAUUAGUAAUAUGUACUAUUUUUAUUCACCAGUUUAUGGAACUGAAAAUAAUUUCACUGUAUCUAAUUAAAUUAUGUCAAGCAGCCAUUACUUGGAUUUAUAAGGUUACUCUUCAUCUGCAUUCCACCAUUAUUAGAAAGGUCUUUAACCAUGUGUGUUUUCAUAUCAUCAGAUGUGUCCACGAAAACUGAGUUUGUAGUUCAGCUAGGUGUUCAAUGGUUGCCCUGGUUGGCAGUGCCACCUUAGAUUCUGCACAACUUGAUAGCAAAUUUAUAAUCACUGUAUUUUGUAUUGUCAGGUUCUGGAUAUCGGAAACAAUCAAUGUAGCAAUGGAUGCAAGAAAUGUCUAUUGAAGUUCGUUUUCACACCCUUGAAUAAGUAAGUGGACAAGACAUGCUAACAAGUCUGAAAAAGCAUUUGGGGAAUGAGAAAGAACUACUUCUCUUAAAUCUACAACUGAGUGGUAUUUCCUUUUGGUAGUGCAAGUACCUGUUGUGGCCAUAUUUCAUUUGUGCUGUUGCGGACCAUGUCUCGAGAAUGUCCAUGAGCUGCUUAUGUAGAUGUUGCUUUUGCUGUUAGUACCUUCUAUUGCUCUUCAUGGAACGUUUUUCUAUU